ensembl:snoRNA SNORD31 Small nucleolar RNA SNORD31
AAUGGAGAUGAUGAUUUUCUUGUUGAUACCGCCCCAGUCUGAGACGUAAUGACUGACUGGUAUCCCCCUCUGAUCCACC